CUGUAGUUCAGUUGGUUAGAGCGUCAGAUUGUGGUUCUGAAUGUCGUGGGUUCGAGUCCCACCAG
rnacentral:tRNA from 1 species